AUGGCAUCCUGCUCUGUUGCCCAGAUUAGAGUGCAGUGGCUCGAUCAUAGCUCACUGCAGCCUUGAGUUCCUGGGCUCAAGGAAUCCUCUUGCCUCAGCCUCCUGAAUAGCUGGGACUGCAGGUUCUAUCCUGAGGUACUAAGGUUAAGACCUCAACAUACGAAUUCUGGAGGACACAAUUCAACCCAGAAGUCUACCUUGUAUUGGGUCCUCAAGGCAAGGCUGCAAACCCUGGGGGGUUUGUAGCCCAGUCCUACCUCCCAUGAGCUAAUGAAUGUAGGGCUCAGGGAGGACUGACAGGACUAGAGUUGACAACCAUUCAUCCAACAAACUUUUACUGCACGAGGAAGAGAGGUGAUCAAAGCACUGCCCUUGUCCCCAGGAAGCUCGCUAGUGCAUGGGACUGUGCAGGUGUCUUUACCUCUGGAUUAGGCAUUCGAUGUCAGGCCAUGGCUGAGCAUCCAUCCUCUCUAUGCUAAUUUUUUCCAAAAGUCAAGAGUUUGGAAGAACACUAAUGUGUUUUUCUUCCAGCCUUUCCUACACAAAUGACAACAUCAUUACCCUCAGCUUUUAAAGUGCAAGUCUGUACAGAGAUCCCAGAGUCAAGGAGGGCGCCUGAGUAAUUUGAAAUAAUUACCUUUUCUUUUUCCUGCCUGAGUCUUGCGUAUCUGUGAAUCAGCAAUGUGGAAACUGGGCUUCAAAAAAAUUAAGGGAGGCUUAAAGUGAGCAAAGCAGAGAAGAGCAUUGGCAAGAGCUGAGCGCUGCCACAGCAGGAACAUCAUGCCGAUCGUCAUCUAAGGGAGCUCAUGGCGCUGUCUGCCUCCUCUUAGCAACAUCCACACAGGCUGGUACAGUCAGAUCAUUGUGACUUGGACAGGGAUGAAAAUACUCAGCUGACACCAGUAGCUCCCAGCACAGCCAGGGUAUUCUAGAGGUGUGUGGUGUCAGGGCAGCCUGUGGGGCCUCAUUUAUUUACCUGAGUCAUCUGAACAAAGCGGUGACUGGCUUUGCCUCGCUCUGGCAAGAACUCACAACAAAGCCAAAGCCUCUUCCUCCACGGCCUUUGCUCCUGCAGCACAGCACUGGCAUCUUUUUAGCAUCAUAGACACUGUCACGUGGCAAUCAAUGACAGAUGAACUGUCCCUUCCCUGGGCCACAAGUUCUUCAAGGCGGGAGCCUCAGCCCAGUUUCUUCCAUGUCUCCAGGGCCCAGCACAGGGCCUGGCUUCUAGCUGGUUUCUGAUGAAUAAAAGAAUGGCUGUAGAGAUGUACUCUUCGAAACACAAGGGGCUUCUAUAGUGGCAACAUGUUCAAUAGCACAAUACUGUACUGGUUCUUUACAGCUUGCAGGACCCAAAGAAGGAAUGAUUUUUGUUUCCCUGGAAAGGUGUACCUCGUGGGGGCACUGCUCGAGGGAAGGUGCCCACAAGUUGGGGAUCAAGGGAGGCACAGGUUGAUCAAGGCCCCUGGAAUUGAAAUGGAGGUGCUCAUCCUGCGGAGGCUCUGAACAUCUGAGGCAGAGCCUUGAUUCUCCAGGAAAUUGACUUUGCCGGAGAACAAGGCUGGGGGAGGCAGGCUGUCCUAGGGGAGGAGUCGUAUUUCAGCCCCACUGAGACCCCCAAAGGAGCACUCCCAUGCUUUACCCCAACUGUCCAUCAGGGGGCAGGCAGAGGCAAGAGAAGAGGAAAGCGUGCGGCUGGUCAGGCCAGCCUGGCAUCCCACACGCUGGGCUGCCUGACUCAGACAAAGCCAGGCCGCUCCUCCUGCCUGUUAUGGCCUCUGUGAUUUUAUAUGGUUUGGCCUGUGACAUCAGACACCACGCGACCAUGGUAACCAAAGUAUACAGCCUGGAGUGAAUGUUAAUAAACAGGAAAGAAA